rnacentral:rRNA from 1 species
AUUGAACGCUGGCGGCAGGCCUAACACAUGCAAGUCGAGCGGAUGAAGGGAGCUUGCUCCUGGAUUCAGCGGCGGACGGGUGAGUAAUGCCUAGGAAUCUGCCUGGUAGUGGGGGAUAACGUCCGGAAACGGGCGCUAAUACCGCAUACGUCCUGAGGGAGAAAGUGGGGGAUCUUCGGACCUCACGCUAUCAGAUGAGCCUAGGUCGGAUUAGCUAGUUGGUGGGGUAAAGGCCUACCAAGGCGACGAUCCGUAACUGGUCUGAGAGGAUGAUCAGUCACACUGGAACUGAGACACGGUCCAGACUCCUACGGGAGGCAGCAGUGGGGAAUAUUGGACAAUGGGCGAAAGCCUGAUCCAGCCAUGCCGCGUGUGUGAAGAAGGUCUUCGGAUUGUAAAGCACUUUAAGUUGGGAGGAAGGGCAGUAAGUUAAUACCUUGCUGUUUUGACGUUACCAACAGAAUAAGCACCGGCGAACUGCGU